GCCUACUUUCUCAAAGUUCUGUUCCUACCAACUGUAUGGGAUGAACAGGAACAUCUGUUAAGUGUGUACUAUAAAUGUGGUAACGGUUUGACAUCUGUGAUAUUCUCUGAAGUUGCAGAUGCAGAGGACUUGAGGCCAUGUGCCACCUCAAGCCAGAGCGACAUUAGUCCAAGUGGCAGCCAGGAAGAAGCUGGCCAAGACAGAGCAUCAGAAUCAGACCAAGAGCUGCCAUCCCUGCUUGAUGAGCCUGUGGCUUCUGAGAUGCCUGCUGGAUACAUUAAAGGU